GAUGAACGCUGGCGGCGUGCCUAAUACAUGCAAGUCGAGCGAACAGAUGAGGAGCUUGCUUCUCUGACGUUAGCGGCGGACGGGUGAGUAACACGUGGAUAACCUACCUAUAAGACUGGGAUAACUUCGGGAAACCGGAGCUAAUACCGGAUAAUAUAUUGAACCGCAUGGUUCAAUAGUGAAAGACGGUUUUGCUGUCACUUAUAGAUGGAUCCGCGCCGCAUUAGCUAGUUGGUAAGGUAACGGCUUACCAAGGCAACGAUGCGUAGCCGACCUGAGAGGGUGAUCGGCCACACUGGAACUGAGACACGGUCCAGACUCCUACGGGAGGCAGCAGUAGGGAAUCUUCCGCAAUGGGCGAAAGCUUGACGGAGCAACGCCGCGUGAGUGAUGAAGGUCUUCGGAUCGUAAAACUCUGUUAUUAGGGAAGAACAAAUGUGUAAGUAACUAUGCACGUCUUGACGGUACCUAAUCAGAAAGCCACGGCUAACUACGUG
rnacentral:rRNA from 1 species